UGCAUUAGGCACACUGAUCUUUAGCCAGGU
rnacentral:piRNA from 1 species